AGUAGGACGCACAGUUUAUACCGUAGCUUGCUACACCAUAGACUGUGAGUUGCGAACGGGUGAGUAACGCGUAGGUAACCUGCCUAUUAGAGGGGGAUAACUAUUGGAAACGAUAGCUAAUACCGCAUAACAGUAUGUAACACAUGUUAGAUGCUUGAAAGAUGCAAUUGCAUCGCUAGUAGAUGGACCUGCGUUGUAUUAGCUAGUAGGUAGGGUAAAGGCCUACCUAGGCAACGAUACAUAGCCGACCUGAGAGGGUGAUCGGCCACACUGGGACUGAGACACGGCCCAGACUCCUACGGGAGGCAGCAGUAGGGAAUCUUCGGCAAUGGGGGGAACCCUGACCGAGCAACGCCGCGUUAGUGAAGAAGGUUUUCGGAUCGUAAAGCUCUGUUGCUAAGGAAGAACGAGUGUGAGAAUGGAAAGUUCAUGCUGUGACGGUACUUAACCAGAAAGGGACGGCUAACUACGUGCCAGCAGCCGCGGUAAUACGUAGGUCCCGAGCGUUGUCCGGAUUUAUUGGGCGUAAAGCGAGCGCAGCGGUUAGAAAAGUCUGAAGUGAAAGGCAGUGG
rnacentral:rRNA from 1 species